rnacentral:rRNA from 1 species
UACGUAGGGGGCGAGCGUUGUCCGGAUUUAUUGGGCGUAAAGAGCGCGUAGGCGGAGCGUUAAGUCUGGCCUGAAAGCCCCCGGCUCAACCGGGGAAGGUGGCUGGAAACUGGCGUUCUUGAGGGCGACAGAGGAGAGUGGAAUUCCUGGUGUAGCGGUGAAAUGCGUAGAUAUCAGGAGGAACACCCAUGGCGAAGGCAGCUCUCUGGGUCGGACCUGACGCUGAGGCGCGAAAGCGUGGGGAGCGAACGGG